rnacentral:misc_RNA from 1 species
GAAAUGCGAUAAGUAAUGUGAAUUGCAGAAUUCCGUGAAUCAUCGAAUCUUUGAACGCACAUUGCGCCCGCCAGUACUCUGGCGGGCAUGCCUGCCCGAGCGUCAUUUCAACCCUCGAGCCCCCCCGGGGGCUUGGUGUUGGAGGUGGGCCGCCCCUCGCGGCGGCCCUCUCCCAAAUCCAUUGGCGGUCUCGCUGUCGCCUCCUCUGCGUAGUAGCACACCUCGCACCGGAGCAGCAGCGCGGCCACGCCGUAAAACCCACCACUUCCGAAAGGUUGACCUCGGAUCAGGUAGGAAUACCCGCUGAACUUAA